UACGGAGGAUGCAGGCGUUAUCCGGAUUUAUUAGGUUUAAAGGGUGCGCAGGCGGCGCACUAAGUCAGUGGUGAAAGUUUGCAGCUUAACUGUAAAAUUGCCAUUGAUACUGGUAUGCUUGAAUAUGGUAGAGGUAGGCGGAAUGUGUAGUGUAGCGGUGAAAUGCUUAGAUAUUACACAGAACACCCAUUGCGAAGGCAGCUUACUAUGCCAUUAUUGACGCUGAGGCACGAAAGCGUGGGGAGCGAACAGG
rnacentral:rRNA from 1 species